ensembl:snoRNA
AGGGUGUGGUCAGAGCAGGGGGCCUAAAGAAAUGGCUCCUCUGUUUACAACACACCCAACAGGAAAUUGGGUUCAUUGUGACAAGGGGCACAAAACCUGGGGCCUUCCUAUGAAUAAAAUAUCCUAUAUGU